GUUUGGAAAAGUGCUGAGCAACUCAGAUUCAAAGAGGUCGCCAGAAAACUAGGUGAUGCUCUUGGAAUCGAGCACAAAGUCGGGAUGAGGCAAUGGUUAAGGCAGUGACUCUCAGAUUUACCAUUAAUAAGCUGCGGGCAAGGAACUCUAGACCCAGGAGGAACUCAGACAACAGGAGACAAAACUGCCUGAACAGCAGCACUGCAGUGACUUUUGGCAACAGCAUUCUGCUACAUACUCUUGCUCUGGAGCUACAUCCAAGAGAUAUUGCUGGGUUCAAUGAAGAUUAGGAGGAGUGGAACGCAAUGCAGGCUGUGUGCUGGAAAGUUCUGGAAGGAGGUCCCUGAAGGAUGGCUCAAUGCGACAAUGUAGGCUUCCAAAUAGAUUUAAAGAUUACCUCAGUCAAUGGACGUGUUCUUAGCUGCUUUGUAUCCAACAGUCCGAAGUCCAGUCUGAAAUGCAGCCCCUUUUCUCUACCUGCUAGGGUGCAGCACUGCCAGCUCUGGGAUCAUGUUUUCAUCACGUCCAUGAAAACACAGAGGGGAUAUGCUGAGUAACAACAACCCAUUUCUGUCCUCAUAACAAGGAAUACGUCUGCAUCAAACUAGUAACCAGCAAUGUAAAUUGUCUCAUCAGUUCCUUUUCCACUUGGUCCAAGGAAAAUUCAGAUAGAAGCACUUAAGACAAUUGCUUUGUGCAGAUAACAACAAAGAACUUUCAUUACUCCUGGAUCGAGGAGGAUGGAUGGAAGAAAUGAAUGUAGGAGAUUUUCCUUCUUUGGAAGUUUUGUUCCUCUCUCUCAAACACAAGUCAUAUCCUGAUAAGGAAGACAAGCUUUACUGCUGCUUUAUGAAGGACUCAUUCCCACACGUACAGAGCAUCUCCUCUCCUGUGAUGGAUGAAGAAAUGUAUCAGAUAUGCCUGAUUUGAAAUCUCAUCAUGACUCUGGCAGUCACUACAAGAGUGUUACUUCUGGUGUUCAUCACCUUGCGAAGUGGAGUUAACAGAUAGCAACAAUAAGAUAAAAAGAAAUGUUGGCCCUUUAAAGAAUAAGGGAAUUUUGCUACUGAUUCGACUGGAGUCAGGGUUUCAGCUUGUGUGUUUAACCUACUGAAUGGCCUAAACUGCACUGCAGAGCAGGUGCUUUCCUGUCUCUCAAGUGGCUAAUGUCCUCAGAUUUUACAGAUCCCUGCAAGACUUUAAUUCCUGAUCCCUGCUUGUCACAUGUUCUAUAAGCUACUCUCCUUGAAAACUGCUUUGAAAAUAGGUGUACUCUGCACACAGGUGUUGGAUUGAUGCAGAGGCUGAGCUGGUCAUCUGGUCCUGUUGUGGUAGGGGCUGUUUAUUUAUUACUGAUUAAAUCAAGCAUCAGGCUUGACAGCAAAGUCUAGUUAUCAUUUGAGCGUCCAGAAAAAGAAACUGGAAUUUAAUUUUAUUACAAGUUUGCCUUAGAAUCAUUUCAUUCAGAUUCAUGACCCUGCACUCACGUAUAAGAUAUUCGAGAGAUUAAUCUUAUUUUAAAUGACAGGUGAAAGUCUUUGGAUCAGGCAUAUGGUACGAAUCUAUCUGUGCAGCAAGUCUCCAAAUGGAUUAUUCCUAGAUAAUUAACAGAUUUCAAAGUACUGACUCAGUGAUAAUAAUUCAUUCCAGAGUUCAGAUACAUACUUGAUUGACUUUAAUUUAAAUAUGUUAAAGUAAUAAUAAUAAUAAUAAAUUCUGUAAUUCAGGCACUGUAAGAGCUUAAAAGCAAAUGUCAGUUUGUGCUGCGCCUCCCAGCAGAUUAGUUUUCUAAUAUAUCUGUUUUCUAAUGAAACUGCAGUGGUGAAGCUGUAAUUUGGGUUUUGUGCCAAAUGUUCUUACUCCUAUUUACAUCAAAAGCUUCAGCUGAAACUGACACGUAUUAGAAAUUUUCAAAACACAUGCCAUAUUUAUACAGCACACAGAGAGAAUGAGACAUUUUUAAUUCAAGAUGGAGAUUUCCGCUCAUCAGAAGUCCAUCUCAGUCAUUUCAUCCCAAUGAGCUUCUUUUAAUAAAUACCAAUAACUGUACAAAUUGUUUAAUACACAUCUUGCCAUCUUGUGCCGUGUAUUUUAUUCAACAGAAAAGCAAGAUGUGGUACUGGAGCACAUCCUUCUAGUGGCAGUAAUGUGGAGGUCUGCUCUGUGCCACUGACUGAUGCUGAACAUGGUGUGGAUGCAGACCGCAGGCAGUACUCCUGGAGGUGUUCAUAGAAUCAUAGAAUGGCCUGGGUUGAAAAGGACCACAAUGACCAUCUAGCUUCAACACUGCUCCUCUAACAUUUCUCCCUUUGAAUGCCAGGAUACACCUUUGAAUGAAACAGCAAGCUUCUCUGUUACUGCUGCCCUACUUUAUUCCUUACCAUUCCUUUUACCCUGCACCCACUCCUACUUGCUAGUUCAGAGCAGUCUUUGAGUGCACGUGCCCUCUGUUUGUAGCAGGCCCUUUUUGACAAAUUGGAUGACUUGUUGGUAAGUGCCCUAUAUUGCUUUUUGGAAAGAAUUUUAAUUGUUGACAAGGGCAAAGGGCUGAUUGAUAUCUGAGGUAGAGAAAGCCUCCACAAUUUAUCUUAAAAAAAAAAAAAGCCUCAGGGCUAGAUUUUUUGAUAAAGGGAAAGAAAUGUGACAAAAAAUUAUGAUACUCACAUUUAUGCAUUUAGACAAUCUUGAGUCUGAAUAGUCAAAAAUUCACAGAGGAAAAGAAAUUAAAAAAAUUGUUUUCAUUAAUAACAGGAACUUCACAGAAUCACAGAAUGGCCAGGGUUGGAAGGAACCUCAAGGAUCAUGAAUCUCCAAACCCAAUGCCACAUUCAAUGAUUUUUCUGUAUGAUUCUAACUCUAGGAACUCAGGAACUCCCUGUAUGGCCCUAAAUAUUUCAGGAAUGGUCAGAAACAAAUCAAUUAAAAAAGGAAUUUUCUGUCAUUAUGAGAAAAUGGGUAUUUUCCUCAGAAUUCUGAAUGAAUGGCACUGUUCCUGACCUUAUCGAUGCUAUGGUGAGUGUAAAGAAACUAUAGUGAAGACACUGAGUAACAUUUACAUUCAUUCAAAAUCAGAGGGAGGUCAGAAUCAGUAAUAAUAUAUAUCUUUAUUUUAGAAAAG